rnacentral:rRNA from 1 species
UACGAAGGGUGCAAGCGUUACUCGGAAUUACUGGGCGUAAAGGGUGCGUAGGUGGUUUGUCACGUCGGCUGUGAAAACCCGGGGCUCAACCCCGGGCCUGCAGUCGAUACGGGCAGACUAGAGUGCGGUAGGGGAGACUGGAAUUCCUGGUGUAGCGGUGAAAUGCGCAGAUAUCAGGAGGAACACCGGUGGCGAAGGCGGGUCUCUGGGCCGUAACUGACGCUGAGGAGCGAAAGCGUGGGGAGCGAACAGG